AGCGAACGCUGGCGGCAUGCUUAACACAUGCAAGUCGCACGGGCAGCAAUGUCAGUGGCGGACGGGUGAGUAUCGCGUAGGAAUAUAUCCUGAGGUGGGGGACAACCCUGGGAAACUGGGGCUAAUACCGCAUAUGGACUGAGGUCCAAAGCCGCAAGGUGCCUUGGGAGUAGCCUGCGUCCGAUUAGGUAGUUGGUGGG
rnacentral:rRNA from 1 species